rnacentral:lncRNA from 1 species
AGGCUGAGAAGAUGAGGGUGGAUGAGAAUCUCCAAAUGGCUGCCCCUAGGCAUCCCUCGCAGAAAUCAUCGCCUGAACUAAUCUGGCUAUCUCCUCUCAGAGUAGUGAAAUGGCCUCUAAAGUGAGUCGCUGAAUCUAUGCAUUGACCAUAUCCAUAAUCUAGGUAAAAACCCUUUCUACUAGAGUGUCCUCAUCCAAUCUGAAAGAUAGUCUGACUGAAGCCUCUAAACGAUUGAUGACUAUCUCUGCUGUUAGUAACUCCUCAGAUUUGAUAUCUGUCAUUAGGAAUAGCUGUCGGAGCCUCAUCCUCAUUUGAAUCCUUAUUCUAAGCCUCUCC